GGUGAAAUGGGGCAGGCGGUGAAACUGCCAGUGUACAUCUGAGGGGACUGAUGCCAACCGCAGCUGAGAGGCAGUGUGAGCACCGAGCAUGCUGGGGGGCAGCCUGGGUGUGAGGACCCCAAAUGUCCCCGCACAGAAUCUGGCCAGGAGCAUUACUCUACACACAGAAGUUCUGUUCCAGCGUCUGAGUAGCUCGCCAAGGAAAUCUCCGCUGUUUACCUGGGAAGGCGAAACUGAGUCGAUGCUGAGAUCAGGGUGGCUGUUAUGCGAAGCUCCAGGAGGCAGGAGCCCAAGUGUGGGCGCACAGGGACACGCCAGGACGGGAGAAACUUCCACGGUGUCCCUUCUGUGCUCUAGGAACUUGGGCUGGCAUGCUCAGGGGGCUGUGUUGCCUUCAGAGUGCUGUGGCCUGCAGUGUGCAGAGGGUCACAGGAUCCAAAUUUCAGGACGCGUGGAGCGCACGGCUGCGCUUGGUGUCAGCCGGCUGUCGACAGCACUGGCAUCCGAGGCUGGCUCCUGAGCAUCUGCACCUCCAUGUUCUCUGGCCCAGGCUGCAUUAGCUAAGGCCCACUGAGACCUGGAUAAACAGAGAGCAAGUUUAAUUGAAUAAAAUAUGUCGUUGGCUUCUUUCCCACCAGGCUCAAUGUUUCUCAGCGACUUCCAUCGGUCCCAUUUUCCUCUCUACAGCUGGCAGGAGGCUCCCUUCGCAGGAGGAGGGAUGAGUCA
rnacentral:lncRNA from 1 species